AGAACCUGGUAUAGAGUCGAUCCACGCUGGUUGCCAGGAACCCGGUGAGAAUCCGGGACGGUCGCGCCACUGUAAGUCCGACGGGAAGCGACCUGUCGCGACGAGUCAGGACGUGGCAACCAGGCCACAUUGCU
rnacentral:ncRNA from 2 species